rnacentral:rRNA from 1 species
GAUUAACGCUGGCGGCGUGCAUAACACAUGCAAGUCGAACGAUGAAACUUAACUGAUUUCUUCGGAAUGAUUUUAAGUGGAUUAGUGGCGGACGGGUGAGUAACGCGUGAGUAACCUGCCUUGGAGAAGGGGAUAGCCUUUUGAAACGAAGAAUAAUACCCUAUGAUAUGAUAAUAUCUCAUGAUAUUAUCAUCAAAGAUUUAUCGCUCUAAGAUGGACUUGCGUCUGAUUAGUUAGUUGGUGAGGUAACAGCUCACCAAGGCAGCGAUCAGUAGCCGGCUUGAGAGAGUGUACGGCCACAUUGGGACUGAGACACGGCCCAGACUCCUACGGGAGGCAGCAGUGGGGAAUUUUGCACAAUGGGGGAAACCCUGAUGCAGCGACGCCGCGUGAUUUAGAAGGCCUUCGGGUUGUAAAAAUCUUUUGUAUGGGAAGAAAAUGACAGUACCAUACGAAUAAGGACCGGCUAAUUACGUG